UACGGAGGGUGCAAGCGUUAUCCGGAUUCACUGGGUUUAAAGGGUGCGUAGGUGGGUUGGUAAGUCAGUGGUGAAAUCUCCGAGCUUAACUUGGAAACUGCCAUUGAUACUAUCAGUCUUGAAUAUUGUGGAGGUCAGCGGAAUAUGUCAUGUAGCGGUGAAAUGCUUAGAUAUGACAUAGAACACCAAUUGCGAAGGCAGCUGGCUACACAUAUAUUGACACUGAGGCACGAAAGCGUGGGGAUCAAACAGGAUUAGAUACCCUGGUAGUCCACGCCCUAAACUAUGGAUACUCGACAUACGCGAUACACAGUGUGUGUCUGAGCGAAAGCAUUAAGUAUCCCACCUGGGAAGUACGAUCGCAAGAUUGAA
rnacentral:rRNA from 1 species